CGACUCAUGGGUGAAAAAUUCUGGAGCCCUGGGACUUAAGAAAUUGAUGUUAUGGAAAGAUGUCCAUCUUACAGGAAUCCUUCCUUGCAAUGUCAUCCGGUCUCUCCUCCCUGACUUCCCAGUGUGGGAGGCAGAAUAGCAGCCCAAGAAUUGUCCACGGCCUAAUCCCCGGAACCUGGGAAUGUGCUCGUACAUGGCCAAAGGGAUUUGGCAGAUGUGACUAACAAUGGAGAGAUUGUUCUGCGUUAUCUGGGCGGGCCAGUGUCAUCACAAGGACUCUUACAAGGGGAGCACUAGACAUGAAAGGAGAAGGCAAUGUGUGACCGAGCAGAGAUUGGGAAGGAUGCUUUUUAAAGAUGGCGGAAGGAACACAGGCAGCCAGUAGGAGCUCAAAAGGCAAGGAAGCGGGUUCUGCUCCCACUGCCCCCUGCAGGUGCUGGCGUCCCUAUCAUCACUCCUAUCUGUGUCCCCCCCUUGACGUUCUCUUGACACUCAUUGUAGCUGGAUUCCACCUGUCUUCACUCGUUGGGACGGAGAAGGGAUGAGGCACUAAGAGCCGCCACCGAAGGACUACCUAGCGGACCGCGAGUGCAUCGACAUAAUGGACUCGUCUCCGUGGAACAAACCGCUGAGGACUCAGAAUUACACCACCCGUGUAUAGACGAGGAAACCGAAUGUUCAUGAAUCAUUUCUUUAGUUCAGUGUUUUUUCAAAUUGUGGUUAGAAGGAACCAGCGUCAGACUUGGGAAGCUCGCUGAACAGGAAGGUCCCUACGUGUCAGUCAGACCUACUGAGCCCGAAUCUGGAGAGGCGGCCUGACCGACAGCAUGGGAAGCACCCUCCUCCAGGCCAUUGUCAGGGAACGUGGUCCACCCAGGCGGAUGUUUGCUUUGCCCAAAGGGUUCUGGCUCCGGCUGGUGAAGCAUUCCAGGACUGACGGCACAAGCUGAUUUGCAUAAGUGCCAAAGUCAAGUAAAACUGAAGCUGUAAACCAACCGAAGUAAUUAUGCCGGCGGGCCGCGUGGAGCACGGAAGCAUCUCGGGAUGCGCAGAAUCCCAUUCAUGGCAGCGCAGAGGAAUCGUGUGCUGUGGAGAACAAACAUCUCUGUGAGUCAAAUCCCCAUCUGAAUCGGUUUCAACAUCUUACUGACGUCCACACUGACAGUAGAUGAGUUAAAUGGAAUCUUUUGACGCAUGUCUAUUUCAUAGCUAUGAAAGUCAUUAUUUUACCAUUUAAGACGAUUCUCUUUUAGCAAAUAUCUAACGUAUCUCACUUGACAGUCUCUACGGCCCUGUGAGGCCAUUACCGCUGUCAUUGUCAUACCCCCAUUUUGAGGAUGACACCACUGAGAAACUAAGAGCUCAAGGUCACGCUAGCAGAGAGUGGCAGAGCAAGGCAGGAAUUUCGGGGUCUUCUGAUUCUGAUUUGGAGUCUUCUGAUCUCCUAUUCUUUCCACUGUUGAGUUAAACCAAAAAAGAAAGUGGCACCCCAUCACAUUAUUCAUUUGCUUGUCAUCGAUGAGCACAGGAGCUGUGACUUAGCAAGCAAACGGUCCUUGCAUUUUGGGUCGUGAUGGUUCGCUUGCUGAUGCGGGGAAAGAAGCCCCAACCAUGUAACUGCUUGCCCUGCCUGAAGGGGGCAGCACUUGAACUCAAUGGGACCGCAGGCGAGUGAUUACCAGCGCCGAGAGGCAACUGGUCUCUACUGACUCUUUUCGUCCCUAACAGAUCAUCGAGUCAAAAUUCUCAAUAGCUCAGUGUCUCACAAGGACUUUCCAAAGUCUUACUGUUUUAUUUCGGCCGCAAAUAAAUGCUUCCCCGCAGGUAUGUUAGCAUUUCGGGGGUGAUUUCGCUCCGAAGCCUUCUGCGUUUUUCUCAGCAGGAUCCCUUGCUUUCCAACAUUCCGUGAACACCUAGGGUGGAUGGGCUAGUUACAAAUGUCACCUGCGUCACAGUCCCUAAGCCCUGUAGUCAGUCCGUGCUUGUUUCCCAGAGAAGGAUAAUAACGUUAGCGAUACAAAUAUGAAAACAAACAAAACGGGAUCUCCCCCUGGGGUAGUUGAGUCUGAGGGAGAGACUUUCAGGCAAACCGGCAAUUACGACCCAACACGGCCAUCAAGAGUUGGUGAGAGCGUGGAGAAACCAGCCCCAGCGUGUUGGAGAGGAUCAUGGAAAGUUUAAUGGUGCUAGGGUUCGCACUGACACUUGGAGGAUAAGCAGGAAUUUUCCUGGAAGAGGGAGGAGGAGGUGCCCAGAAGCUUCUAGACAGAAGUGCAGGUACAGGGUGUCUAGGAGGCAGAAAACAGUCCGGAGUGGCUUACAGGAGGCAGUACGUAGGGAAGAAUUCCAAAUAUGAAACCAAACAGGUGGUCAGGGACAAGUCAUGGCAGACCACGACGAGG